GAUGAACGCUGGCGGCGUGCUUAACACAUGCAAGUCGAACGGGAAAUAUUUCAUUGAGACUUCGGUGGAUUUGAUCUAUUUCUAGUGGCGGACGGGUGAGUAACGCGUGGGUAACCUGCCUUAGUACAGGGGGAUAACAGUCAGAAAUGGCUGCUAAUACCGCAUAAGCGCACAGAGCUGCAUGGCUCAGUGUGAAAAACUCCGGUGGUAUAAGAUGGACCCGCGUUGGAUUAGCUUAGUUGGUGGGGUAACGGCCCACCAAGGCGACGAUCCAUAGCCGGCCUGAGAGGGUGAACGGCCACAUUGGGACUGAGACACGGCCCAG
rnacentral:rRNA from 1 species